AGAGUUUGAUCCUGGCUCAGGAUGAACGCUGGCGGCGUGCCUAACACAUGUAAGUCGAACGAUGAAGCCCGCUUUUAGUGGGUGGAUUAGUGGCGAACGGGUGAGUAACACGUAGGUGACCUGCCCCAGAGAGGAGAAUAACCAUGCGAAAGCGUGGCUAAUACUCCAUACGGUCGGCCAUUCGUUUGGUCGAUUAAAGCUACGGCGCUCUGGGAGGGGCCUGCGGCCCAUCAGCUAGUUGGUAGGGUAAUGGCCUACCAAGGCUAUGACGGGUAGCUGGUCUGAGAGGACGAUCAGCCACAAUGGGACUGAAACACGGCCCAUACUUCUACGGAAGGCAGCAGUGAGGAAUAUUGGACAAUCAACGAAAGUUGGAUCCAGCAACGCCGCGUGGAUGAUGAAGGCCUUCGGGUUGUAAAAUCCUUUUAAGAGGGAAGAGUAAGGACGGUACCUCUUGAAUUAAGUCUCGGCUAACUACGUGCCAACAGCCGCGGUAACACGUAGGAGGCUAGCGUUAUCCGGAUUUAUUGGGCGUAAAGCGCGCGCAGGCGGCUAGGUAAGUCGGGUGUGAAAGCUCCGAGCUCAACUCGGAGAGGUCACUCGAUACAGCCUGGCUUGAGAGCGGGAGAGGGAAGUAGAAUUCUGGGUGUAGUGGUGAAAUGCGUAGAUAUCCAGAGGAAUACCAGUGGCGAAGGCGGCUUCCUGGCCCGUUUCUGACGCUGAGGCGCGAAAGCGUGGGUAGCGAACGGAAUUAGAAACUCCGGUAGUCCACGCCGUAAACGAUGGGUACUAGGUGUGGGGAGUAUUAACCCUCUCCGUGCCGCAGCAAACGCGUUAAGUACCCCGCCUGCAGACUACGGCCGCAAGGCUAAAACGCAAAGGAAUUGACGGGGGCCCGCACAAGCAGCGGAGCGUGUGGUUCAAUUCGGAAAUACACGAAGAACCUUACCUGGGUUUGACAUGUUAGUAGUAGUGAAGCGAAAGCGGAACGAUCCUUCGGGAAGCUAUCACAGGUGCUGCAUGGCUGUCGUCAGCUCGUGCCGUGAGGUGUUGGGUUAAGUCCUGUAACGAGCGCAACCCUUACUGCCAGUUACAAGUGUCUGGCGGAACUGCCGGUGACAAACCGGAGGAAGGUGAGGAUGACGUCAAGUCAGCAUGGCCUUUAUAUCCAGGGCUACACACACGCUACAAUGGCCGGCACAAUAGGUUGCCAAGCCGCGAGGCGGAGCUAAUCCUUAAAGUCGGUCUCAGUUCGAUUGUAGGCUGCAACCCGCCUGCAUGAAGUUGGAGUUGCUAGUAACCGCGCGUCAGCAAUAGUGCGGUGAAUACGUUCCCGGGCCUUGUACACACCGCCCGUCACGUCAUGGGAGUUGAUAACACCUGAAGUCGGUGGGCUAACCUAACGGAGGCAGCUGUCGAAGGUGGGAUUAGCGACUGGGACGAAGUCGAAACAAGGUA
rnacentral:rRNA from 1 species